CUUCUAGUGUUCCAUCUUUAUUUUCGUCAUCUUCUUUUUCUUUCUCUUCUUCUUCUUCUGCAGCUUCUGGAAGCUAUGACAUCAAACAAUGGAAAAUACUGCUUGUUCAAAAAUUUGUUACCAAAAUUGCUGUUCCUCCACUGCACCCACUCUGCCAUAGUCAUCCACUAAAAUUAAUGAAAUGCUAAGAAAACCGUGGGUGCACCCUGCAGUAUUCCAGAUUUCCAAGAUUUCUGUGAUUUACAGGAUGCUGGAUGUUUCCAAGAAUCCCAGCAUCAUAGAAAUACUGGUUGGGAAGAACCUCUGAGGCCAUCUGGUCCAACCUCACUAUUGGUAAGACCAGACCAAGUCAGCUCUGGUUUGUCUUCUGGAAUGCCUGUGCUUGUCUCUUUGACAUCUAAUCCCUGUAGCUAAUGUGUCCAAGACCUGGAUCCUUUUUUAGUUUAUCAGUUUGGCUGUGAGACCACACUGAGAAGAAGUGUUUAAUCUAGGGUGAUCUAAAACACUUACUCCUUUAAGCAACUGAAAAGUUGAUCUGGUCCCAGGUCCCACUAGCCAGGGGCAUGAGGCAUCCUUCAUUAGGAAGUCAUUAGGAAACAGACUGAAAUUCUAGUACAAGCGUAGAGGCACGCUUUACAUUUCAACAUAUUGGCACUGCAAGUUACACUUACUUUUUAAAGUAUGUAAAUAUUCAGUACUGUGAGGUGAAACAGUCCCCAUUCCUUACAGUGUAAUACCUUCCAUCCAAACCAUGACUAAGAAGGCAUCCUCUUUGCCAGCUAUGCUCUCACAAGCCAAGAGAAUAGAAACCUCAGAGCUGUGCACCAAACAUGGUAUGACUUUCAUCCUCUGCCAUACACAGAUGGCCCACAGGCCAGAAUGCACAGGAGGAGCAAAGGAACAGCAAAUGUGAACAUAUCACAGUCCUCAGAGUUGGUUUAUGUGGCUAGUGCAAUUAAGAGGUCCAGAACCUAAAGAAAAUUCAUAAACCUAACUUCCCAAUUCUUACAACAGUUUUUGAUUACCUCUUAUGUGAAAUUUUUGCAGAAGAGAAGAUUCCUAU